rnacentral:rRNA from 1 species
GACGAACGCUGGCGGCGUGCUUAACACAUGCAAGUCGAACGGAAAGGCCCUGCUUGCAGGGUACUCGAGUGGCGAACGGGUGAGUAACACGUGGGUGAUCUGCCCUGCACUUCGGGAUAAGCUUGGGAAACUGGGUCUAAUACCGGAUAGGAACCAUCUUUAAUGUGGUGGUUGGAAAGUUUUUUCGGUGUAGGAUGAGCUCGCGGCCUAUCAGCUUGUUGGUGGGGUAAUGGCCUACCAAGGCGGCGACGGGUAGCCGGCCUGAGAGGGUGUACGGCCACAUUGGGACGGAGAUACGGACCAGACUCCUACGGGAGGCAGCAGUGGGGAAUAUUGCACAAUGGGCGCAAGCCUGAUGCAGCGACGCCGCGUGGGGGAUGAAGGCCUUCGGGUUGUAAACUCCUUUCGCUAGGGACGAAGCUUUGUUGUGACGGUACCUAGAUAAGAAGCACCGGCUAACUACGUG